AUUGAACGCUGGCGGCAUGCCUUACACAUGCAAGUCGAACGGCAGCAUAGGAGCUUGCUCCUGAUGGCGAGUGGCGAACGGGUGAGUAAUAUAUCGGAACGUGCCCUAGAGUGGGGGAUAACUAGUCGAAAGAUUAGCUAAUACCGCAUACGAUCUACGGAUGAAAGUGGGGGAUCGCAAGACCUCAUGCUCCUGGAGCGGCCGAUAUCUGAUUAGCUAGUUGGUGGGGUAAAAGCCUACCAAGGCGACGAUCAGUAGCUGGUCUGAGAGGACGACCAGCCCCACUGGGACUGAGACACGGCCCAGACUCCUACGGGAGGCAGCAGUGGGGAAUUUUGGACAAUGGGGGCAACCCUGAUCCAGCAAUGCCGCGUGAGUGAAGAAGGCCUUCGGGUUGUAAAGCUCUUUUGUCAGGGAAGAAACGGUUCUGGAUAAUACCCAGAGCUAAUGACGGUACCUGAAGAAUAAGCACCGGCUAACUACGUGCCAGCAGCCGCCGCAGUAA
rnacentral:rRNA from 1 species